GUUUUCUAUGCUUCUCAGCUGACUGCCAAGCCGAGGCUGCUUGAGCCAGUGUACUUGGUGGAGAUCCAAGCCCCAGAGCAAGCACUUGGUGGUAUUUACAGUGUUCUUAACCAGAAGCGAGGACAUGUGUUUGAGGAGAUGCAGAGGCCUGGUACUCCACUAUACAACAUCAAAGCAUACCUUCCUGUUAUCGAGUCAUUUGGAUUCUCGAGCACCCUGAGGGCUGCAACUUCAGGACAGGCUUUCCCACAAUGCGUGUUUGACCACUGGGAUAUGAUGUCAUCAGAUCCAUUGGAACCUGGUUCCCAGGCAGCCAACCAUGUUGCUGAGAUCCGUAAGAGGAAGGGAUUGAAGGAGCAGAUGACCCCGCUCUCCGAUUACGAGGACAAGCUGUAAGCUAAGCAACAAAAUAAUAAUUAAUUGAAGAGGUUACGUUACCCAUUUUAU
rnacentral:lncRNA from 1 species